rnacentral:rRNA from 1 species
UACGUAGGUGGCAAGCGUUGUCCGGAUUUACUGGGUGUAAAUGGAGCGUAGACGGCAAUACAAGUCGGAAGUGAAAUACCCGGGCUCAACCUGGGAACUGCUUUGGAAACUGUAUGGCUGGAGUGCUGGAGAGGUAAGCGGAAUUCCUAGUGUAGCGGUGAAAUGCGUAGAUAUUAGGAGGAACACCAGUGGCGAAGGCGGCUUACUGGACAGUAACUGACGUUGAGGCUCGAAAGCGUGGGGAGCAAACAGG